GGGCCCAUAGCUCAGUUGGUUAGAGCGUCCGGCUCAUAACCGGCAGGUCCUAGGUUCGAGUCCUAGUGGGCCCACCA
rnacentral:tRNA from 1 species